UGAAGCUUCACGGAGUCAAGGUUCUGUUAACACCUCCUAGUGAAAAAUCGGUUGGACAUUGGGUAACUGUUAAAUCCUCCAUUAAUUACUAGUUGAUGCUUACUUGGUUCAAAUAGUUCGUUAGGCGUUAGAAGAGUGAGAAAAAAAACUGUUACGUUUAUUUGGAUUCCUAUCAUUUGAGUUAAUUUUUGGAAAUCACCUGUUAAAGCAAACCCCUCCUUCCGCCAACGUUAAUUGGAUGUUCUCUACUUCAUUACCUUUGCUUCAAUCAUUGGAUUACCUUUGGCUUCUUUGAAAAUGAAUUGUGUUGGUUAUGUUACUGUCAUGAACUGAAGUUAAUGGAUUUGUUUGGUUCUGUUUGUAGGUCGGCGUAUUUUGACUUGAACCUCUUCUGUUGAGGGUCCUCAUUUCUGCCAUAUGGGGUAUGAAGAAAAAUCGGAGAAGGUUUUUGUUAUGUGAGUGAAAUCUUCAAGAUUGAAGCUUCAGUUUCUGUUUUUUGAAGGUUCUUGAAGUAGAACUUGAAUUUGAAGUCGGAAUUGGUUUUAUUUGUGGAGGUUCAAAAAUGGAUCCCGUUGAGUUUCGCGGUUUUGCCGUUUUGCUUUGAUUGUUGCCUGGAUGCGUUUCGCUUAAAUGUAGCAGCUGUGUUUAAUCGCUGAACGUUGCUUGCGUGCAUGCUUUGGCGUGGCUCGUUUGGAAGUUGGCUUACGCGUUUCUCGCUGAGUGUUUUGUUUGUUGGGUGAAGUUACUGCGUUUUUGGUUGCAGAAGCUUGUUCGCGUUACAUGCUCUGGUUGCGGCGUGUUGGAUGCGGCUAGUGUGCGUUUUCGAAGCUGUUGUUGUAGCUGGAAUUCACGUAUGCAGUUUUGGUUUGCUCAACUCGCGUUCCUGCUGCAUUUUUAUUUUGUCGCCGGUGUGUGCGUUCAGCAGCUUGCAAAUUGUCGUUGGAAGCAGCGUCUUGCUGCGUUUAUGUUUGGCCUUGACAUUGCUUCUCAAUUUCUACUGUUUUCUUUUUCCAUUUUAAUUAGUGUAAAUGGUCAUGUACAUGGUUAGAAAUGAAUUAACGGGUAUGUAAAGACUUGUUUAAUAGCUAUGAAUGGAUAAUUGUUUUUA